UGGGGAAUUUUGGACAAUGGGCGAAAGCCUGAUCCAGCAAUGCCGCGUGUGUGAAGAAGGCCUUCGGGUUGUAAAGCACUUUUGUCCGGAAAGAAAUCCUUGGCUCUAAUACAGUCGGGGGAUGACGGUACCGGAAGAAUAAGCACCGGCUAACUACGUGCCAGCAGCCGCGGUAAUACGUAGGGUGCAAGCGUUAAUCGGAAUUACUGGGCGUAAAGCGUGCGCAGGCGGUUUGCUAAGACCGAUGUGAAAUCCCCGGGCUCAACCUGGGAACUGCAUUGGUGACUGGCAGGCUAGAGUAUGGCAGAGGGGGGUAGAAUUCCACGUGCAGCAGUGAAAUGCGUAGAGAUGUGGAGGAAUACCGAUGGCGAAGGCAGCCCCCUGGGCCAAUACUGACGCUCAUGCACGAAAGCGUGGGGGAGCAAAACAGGAUUAGAUACCCUGGUAGUCCACGCCCCUAAACGAUGUCAACUAGUUGUUGGGGAUUCAUUUCCUUAGUAACGUAGCUAACGCGUGAAGUUGACCGCCUGGGGAGUACGGUCGCAAGAUUAAAACUCAAAGGAAUUGACGGGGUCAUAGCUGUUUCCU
rnacentral:rRNA from 1 species